CCUACGGGAGGCAGCAGUGGGGAAUAUUGGGCAAUGGGCGCAAGCCUGACCCAGCAACGCCGCGUGAAGGAAGAAGGCUUUCGGGUUGUAAACUUCUUUUAAGGGGGAAGAGCAGAAGACGGUACCCCUUGAAUAAGCCACGGCUAACUACGUGCCAGCAGCCGCGGUAAUACGUAGGUGGCAAGCGUUGUCCGGAGUUACUGGGUGUAAAGGGCGUGCAGCCGGAGAGACAAGUCAGAUGUGAAAUCCACGGGCUCAACCCGUGAACUGCAUUUGAAACUGUUUCCCUUGAGUGUCGGAGAGGUAAUCGGAAUUCCUUGUGUAGCGUUGAAAUGCGUAGAUAUAAGGAAGAACACCAGUGGCGAAGGCGGAUUACUGGACGAUAACUGACGGUGAGGCGCGAAAGCGUGGGGAGCAAACAGGAUUAGAUACCCGUGUAGUC
rnacentral:rRNA from 1 species